rnacentral:rRNA from 1 species
CGCAGCCGCGGUAAUUCCAGCUCCAAUAGCGUAUAUUAAAGUUGUUGCAGUUAAAAAGCUCGUAGUUGAAUUUCGGGGUUAGUAGGUUGGUCAUGCCUCUGGUAUGUACUGGUCUCACUGAUUCCUCCUUCCUGAUGAGCCGUAAUGCCAUUAAUUUGGUGUUGCGGGGAAUUUGGACUGUUACUUUGAAAAAAUUGAGUGUUUAAAGCAAGCUAACGCUUGAAUACAUUAGCAUGGAAUAAUGAAAUAGGACGUUCGAUCCUAUUUUGUUGGUUUCUAGGAUUGACGUAAUGAUUAAUAGGGAUAGUUGGGGGCAUUAGUAUUCAAAUUGUCAGAGGUGAAAUUCUUGGAUUUAUUGAAGACUAACUACUGCGAAAAGCAUUUGCCAAGGAUGUUUUCAUUAAUCAAGAACGAAAGUUAGGGAUCGAAGACGAUCAGAUACCGUCGUAGUCUUAACCAUAAACUAUGCCGACUAGGGAUCGGAUGAUGUUAAUUUUUAUGUACUCAUUCGGCGCUUACCGGGAAACCU